rnacentral:rRNA from 1 species
AGAGUUUGAUCAUGGCUCAGGGCAAACGCUGGCGGCGUGCCUAAGACAUGCAAGUCGGACGGGCGCCUUCGGGCGCCAGUGGCGGACGGCUGAGUAACACGUGGGUGACCUGCCCUCUGGUGGGGGAUAACCCCUCGAAAGGGGGGCUAAGACCGCAUACGGUCGCCGGUUCAAGCCGGCGAGCAAAGCUCAUCCGAGCGCCAGGGGAGGGGCCCGCGGCCGAUUAGCUGGUUGGUGGGGUAACGGCCCACCAAGGCGACGAUCGGUAGCCGGUCUGAGAGGAUGAUCGGCCAGACUGGGACUGAGACACGGCCCAGACUCCUACGGGAGGCAGCAGUCAGGAAUCUUGGGCAAUGGGCGCAAGCCUGACCCAGCAACGCCGCGUGGGGGACGAAGCCCUUCGGGGUGUAAACCCCUUUUCCACGGGACGAGUGUGGACGGUACCGUGGGAAGAAGCCCCGGCUAACUACGUGCCAGCAGCCGCGGUAAGACGUAGGGGGCGAGCGUUGCCCGAAUUCACUGGGCGUAAAGUGCGCGUAGGCGGUUGGGCAAGUCGCGCGUGAAAUCUCCUGGCUUAACCGGGAGGGGCCGCGCGAGACUGCUCGGCUUGAGCGAGGCAGAGGGCAGUGGAAUUCCCGGUGGAGCGGUGAAAUGCGUAGAUAUCGGGAGGAACGCCAGUGGCGAAGGCGGCUGCCUGGGCCUCUGCUGACGCUGAGGCGCGAAAGCGUGGGGAGCGAUCCGGAUUAGAUACCCGGGUAGUCCACGCCGUAAACGAUGCGGACUACGCAUCCGGAGUAUCGACCCUCUGGGUGCCACAGCUAACGCGUCAAGUCCGCCGCCUGGGGACUACGGCCGCAAGGCUAAAACUCAAAGGAAUUGACGGGGGCCCGCACAAGCGGCGGAGCGUGUGGUUUAAUUCGAUGCAACGCGCAGAACCUUACCCGGGCUUGACAUGCCGGUGGUAGCGACCCGAAAGGGGAGCGACCCGCGAGGGAGCCGGCACAGGUGCUGCAUGGCUGUCGUCAGCUCGUGCCGUGAGGUGUUGGGUUAAGUCCCGCAACGAGCGCAACCCCCGCCGCUAGUUACCAGGUCUAGCGGGACUGCCGGCGAGAAGCCGGAGGAAGGAGGGGAUGACGUCAAGUCAGCAUGGCCCUGACGUCCGGGGCGACACACACGCUACAAUGGCCGGGACAAAGGGCAGCGAAGGGGCGACCCGGAGCCAAUCCCAGCAAACCCGGUCUCAGUUCGGAUUGCAGGCUGCAACUCGCCUGCAUGAAGGCGGAGUCGCUAGUAACCGCCGGUCAGCACACGGCGGUGAAUACGUUCCCGGGCCUUGUACACACCGCCCGUCACGUCAUGAAAGUCGGGAACGCCUGAAGCCGGUGGCCGAACCCGGAAGGGACGGAGCCGUCGAGGGCGGGCCUGGCGAUUGGGACGAAGUCGUAACAAGGUA